CGGGUGAGUAACGCGUGAGGAACCUGCCUCAAAGAGGGGGACAACAGUUGGAAACGACUGCUAAUACCGCAUAAGCCCACGGCUCGGCAUCGAGCAGAGGGAAAAGGAGCAAUCCGCUUUGAGAUGGCCUCGCGUCCGAUUAGCUAGUUGGUGAGGUAAUGGCCCACCAAGGCAACGAUCGGUAGCCGGACUGAGAGGUUGAACGGCCACAUUGGGACUGAGACACGGCCCAG
rnacentral:rRNA from 1 species